GUACCACCCAUUGAUUAGAUAUUCCACUGCCAAACAACAGUACUCAGUAUUGUUGUGUUCCGGUUUGAAGGGUGAGUGAGCCAGUGUAACUACAGGCACAAGGGGCAUAACAUCUUAGUUCCCAAGGUUGGUAGCGCAUUGGUGAUGUAAGGAAUAGUUAAUAUUUCUUACAGCGUCAUUGUCUAUGGGCGGUGGUGACCACUUACAAUGAGUUGGCCCAU